ACCAUGUCGUCAAUAAUUCUAAAUCGAGAAAUUUUAUUUUGGCCAGGAGCUGAAGUUGGUUGUUUAGUAGUAGUAGUUUGAGUAGUGACCGAAGUAGUAGUCUGGUGCAAGAGUAGUUGGGGAAGAAUUAGGUGUGGUAAUUGGGGCAGCUGUGGUCUCUUGUGGAGCUGGGGAAGACGGUGGAGCUGGUGUAGUUGCAGAAGGUGUGGGUGGGGCAGCUGUGGUGUCUUGUGGAGCUGGGGAAUUCACUGAUGGAAUUUGGGUUGUAGCCACUAAGGUAGGGUUGACCACACUGCUAUUUUUAUCUGGAUGUUUAGGUGGCUGGUGAGGAUUUGGGAAUUUGGGGGGGUUAUUAGGUGAAGGUG
rnacentral:lncRNA from 1 species